ensembl:lncRNA
AAAAAGUUCAUUAUGGAUGAUAAAAGACAGAUUUAAAAACAGUGGUACUUAUAUUCUAUCAGUUUGUCUAAAAACACAACAUUAAAAACAAUAACAUCAAAUGCUAGGCAAUGAAUCCCAAGUGCAAAGCAGAAACUGCAUGUCCGGUCACUGUCUGUUAAAUUUAUUUCAGAUUGCAUCAUAUUUUGUGUGUACAGAUCAGAAGUGAUAUAUUUUUGCAGGCCAACCUGCAAGUUAGCAUCACCCUGGUUCUAUCAACAACACUUUUUUCAUCAUUAAUUAUUGCACUGACACAAUGUUUGUCCAGGUUUUGUACCUAAACCCUCUUAAACUCACACUCAACACUAUUUUCUGGAAUAAUUUACAGACAGUGACACUGGCGGAGCAGAUCCUGAUUAUCACGUCAACACUGUGUGAAAUGUUAAUGCAGUUUUACAUAAAAUGCCAUUGAAAUAGAGCUAAACUCUACUCAUAUAUGACAAUCACAGCUAGAAGUAGGAAAGACACAAGGCAGCAAAAGAACAUCAGAGCUCCACAAAAAAAAAAAAAAAAAAAAAAAAACAGCUUACUCUAUUAACAAACAUGAAUACAGUCCAUUACAGUAACACUACAAUAAUAUGAUAAUACACUUGAUCAUAUGAAAAUACGUGGUUGAGAUUUUAUGACUGUGUUGUGGCUUUCAGCUCAUGUCUACUAGCUUUAAGGCUAUUUAUAUACUUGUGAAAUUAUGCUUUUAACAAACGCAUGUAAAAUGUACACAUUCACAGAUCAUACAUUUUAUAACUCAUACUGCACUACACAAAUUUUGUCCAAUCAAAUUCUUUCUAGAGCAAGUCCCUCCUCCAAACACUAUCUGCAAACAGCUAGCAGCACAAGCACUGUGUAGUUUCUUAAUUAGAAAUGUCAGAACAGGUUUACCUUUCCAGCAGAUCUGAAAGUGAAGAAGUGUCUGGAGGAGCAGCAGAAUAAAGGAUGUGUUUGAGCACCCAGUUAACAGAAGCAGAGCUCUGGGACGUGUGGACAGACAUUCGCUGUAAUGAUGGACAUCUGCUCAUGGACAGGCUGAAAAGCAUAACCGCUGCUGGACAUUGCUCUGGGACUCGGGGGGGACCCGAACCAUCCUCACCCCUUCUUUCACACACCAUUCACUCAUAUCGCAGAGAUCCAGCUGUGAUUGAACCAGCAACCUCUGAACCAUGAGGCAGUGCUCCUACCAGUGAGCCACAGAUCUCUUGUUGGGACAUGUGAAGGAACUUAUAUUUCACUAUUAACAUUUAAUUUUACAAUAAAUUAGUUAAAGAUUCCAAUUGUGUCAGUGUCAUUUGAUAUGCAGAGGUGGGACUUGAACCCAUGCUUUAGUCAUAGCCGUGAACGCAACACCCAUUGUUUAGCCACUAGUGCCACUGUGGCUUUCACGCUGUUUGCUGGCAUUUGGGGCACUUUGUUUUGAAUGGUAUUUUGCUGAGAUCUGUUUUAAACGAAAAGAAAGAAAUUCAAAUGUGGGACUCAUACAACACAUUUAUAUCAGUGAGAUCUAGUUGGGAUUGAACCACACAAUCUCAGCCCAUCUUCUUCCUGUGAGCCACAGAUCUCAUGACUGGCCCUGUGCAGGAACUUAAAUUUUACCAUCAAGCUGUAUGUGACCUGUGAUUUUACAACAAAUAUAAUUAUCAUCAGUGGGAUUUAAACCCAUGUCUUCAUCACAGCAUUGUACUUGAAAACAUGCAUGUGUCCACCAGCCCAUCACAGCUUUCACAUACAGUCUUGGUGUUUCAGUGAAUCUUUGAAAUAUAAUGAGAAUGAUUUAACAUAAGCAAUAGUGGGAUUUGAACUCAACACAGCAUGAUUUAAACACAACACUAUCACUUGAGCAGACUGAUGUUUUUAAUGGGUUUUUAUCGAGAACUUGGUUGUAAGUGAUAAAAAAUAAUUAUUAUGUGUGGGAUUUGAACCAAGAUUUCCAUUUAGGAAAUAGAAACCAUUAUCCACCGAGCUAGUGACACAAGUGUUGUUGGGUGAAUUACACCGCUACAUGUCGAGUGUGAUGAAUUUAAAUGGGUUGCGCCCUCCUGUGGUGAUUUUUGUGAAUCACACUAAUACAAUUUGAGUCUUAAUUAACUUAAAUGGGUUGCUACCUCCAGUGGUGAUUUUUGUGAAUUACACAGGUGCGGAUCGAGUGCAGAUCGGUCUUUGUAGCGUUGUGUGAAGUCGAACACACCACUUGUAACACUUACUGCUGUGCAUUACAGCAAAAUACAUUUUUAUUUUAAUGUAAGUGAAGUUUUGUUUGGCAAUCCAAACAAUACAUCAAACAAGCUGAACCAGAAAGUCUGAUUUUUAAGUCUAAUGACCUUAAAUGUGUUGCGCCCUCCUGUGGUGAUUUUUGUGAAUUACACUUCUGCAAAUUUAGUCUAAUGAACUUUAAUGGGCUGCCCCCUCCUGUGGUGAUUUUUGUGAAUUACACUUUUGGAACUCCAAUCUAAUGCACUUACAUGUGCUGAUUUUUGUGAAUUACACUUCUGCAAAUCCAGUCUGAUGAAUUUAAAUGGGCUGAUUUUUGUGAAUUACACUUCUGCAAAUCCAGUGUAAUGAACUUAAAUGGGCUGCACCCUCCUGUGGUGAUUUUUGUGAAUUACACUUGUGGAAAUCCAGUCUAAUGAAUUUAAAUGGGCUGAUUUUUGUGAAUUACACUUCUGCAAAUCCAGUCUAAUGAAUUUAAAUUGGUUGCGCUCUCCUGUGGUGAUUUUUGUGAAUUACACUUCUGCAAAUUUAGUCUAAUGAACUUUAAUGGGCUGCGCCCUCCUGUGGUGAUUUUUGUGAAUUACACUUUUGGAAAUCCAAUCUAAUGAACUUAAAUGGGCUGAUUUUUGUGAAUUACACUUCUGCAAAUCCAGUGUAAUGAACUUAAAUGGGCUGCGCCCUCCUGUGGUGAUUUUUGUGAAUUACAUUUCUGCAAAUCCAGUCUAAUGAACUUAAAUGGGUUGGUUGUAAGUGAUAAAAAAAAGAUUUUUUAAAAAGAAGAUUUUUGUGAAUUACACUUCCGCAAAUCCAGUGUAAUGAACUUAAAUGGGCUGCACCCUCCUGUGGUGAUUUUUGUGAAUUACACUUCUACAAAUCCAGUCUAAUGAACUUAAAUUGGUAGCGCCCUCCUGUGGUGAUUUUUGUGAAUUACACUUCUGCAAAUCCAGUCUAAUGAACUUAAAUGGGUUGUGCCCUCCUGUGGAGAUUUAUGUGAG